AUGACACUGACACCUAGUGAACUGCCCAAGGUCAACAGUCCUGAUUUCCACGCAUUAAAGGUUUGGCGCUGUUUGUGUUCAGAGUCAGAGAGCUGUGUCUCUCUCCAGUCAGAGGUUUUUGUACGACCACUCAGUCAGUUUGUAUCACUGUGGUGGACUUUCGGUGGAGGAACCAGGCUGGAUGUUGGAAGUGACGCUCGUCCCACCCUGACGGUGCUGCCCCCCUCCAGAGAGGAGCUGCAGCAGGGGAAGGCCACGCUCAUGUGCCUGGCCAACAAGGGCUUCCCCUCAGACUGGAGUCUGUCCUGGAAGGUGGACGGCAGCAGCAGCAGCAGCUGGGAGGAGGGCAGGAGCCCAGGGGUGCUGCAGGAGGACGGCCUCUACAGCUGGAGCAGCACCCUGAGGCUCCCUGCAGACCAGUGGGAGAAGGUGGGCUCUGUGACCUGUGAGGCCACCCAGGGCUCCCACACUUCUCUCUCACAGACACUGAGGAGAGACCAGUGUUCCCAGUCCUGAGCUGACUCUCUCUCUUUUUCUGUCACUCGUCUUUGUUUUGUUCAUCAUUUCACUGUUUGACACAAUAAAGAUUCAUUCAAAGAAA